UUUUAAUACUGAAAUAUAUAUGCUAAUGAAUAUUAGUUGAAGGGUAUUGAAGAUGAAAAUUAUUAUCUUCUCGAUAAUUUCCAUCUACAAUACCCCAAAAUUCAAACGAAAACAAAAUAUAUUUUCUACAUUUGCGGUUUGAAUUAAAGACAUUAAAUUUAUCUGGAAAGAUGUAGUCGAAAGGGCAGCUGUAAUUGAUCAUAUUAAGAAAAUCACAACUCGCCUCAGUGCUCCGAAAUUGUAGAUUACUGUAUGCACUAUCACACAGUUCUCUCUUCUUAAAUAGUUAUUUUCCCUUUUUUUGUUUUGGAAAAUAUUAGAUAAAUACACGAAAAUACACGUCAAGCACUUGGUCAUGAAUUACUGUAGCUAAUGGCAUUGCGCACAAUGUUAAAAUAACCUGGAGCGAGUGUGUUGGGUUUUGUUGGGCUGUUUGGUUUUGUUGUGUUGUGUUUUGUUGAGCUGUUGGGUUUUGUUGUGUUAUUGGGUUUUGCUGUGCUGUUGGGUUUUGUUGGGUUUUGUUGCGCUGUUGGGUUUUGCUGUGCUGUUGCGUCUGUUGUACUGUUGGGUCUGUUGUGCUGUUCUACUGUUGGGUCUUGCUAUGCUGUUGGGUUUGUUGUGCUGUUGGAUUUUGUUGGAUCUGUUGGGUUUUGCUGUGCUGUUGGGUUUGUUGGGUCAAUUGUGCUGUUGGGUUUUGUUGGGUUUGUUGGAUCUGUUGGGUUUGUUGGAUUUUGUUGGGUUUGUUGUGCUGUUGGGUCUGUUGCGCUGUUGGGUUUUGUUGGGUUUUGCUGUGCUGUUGGGUUUUGUUGCGUCUGUUGUGCUGUUGUGUUUUGUUGGGUUUUGCUGUGCUGUUGGAUUUUGUUGGGUCUGUUGGGUCUGUUGGGUUUAGCUGUGCUGUGCUGUUGGGGUCUGUUGGGUUUCUUGAAUCUUUUGGGUUUGUUGGAUCUGUUGGGUUUGUUGGAUCUGUUGGGUUUGUUGGAUUUGUUGGGUCUUUUGGGUUUGUUAGAUCUGUUGGGUUUGUUUUUAUCUGUUGGGUUUGUUGGAUCUGUUGGAUUUGUUGGACCUGUUGGAAUUUUUUUAUUUGUUGCGUUUGUUUGGGUCUGUUUGUAUGUUGAAGAUUUGGAUAGGGGGACAAGCUCAGGGCCGUGCCGAGCGGUAUCUGGUUGGGGGAGGGGUGAAUUUAAAAUUUGGGGUUCCCCUCAAAAAAAUUUUCCGGAAAGCAAACAUUUUUCCGGAAAAUUUUGGCGACGGUGGGAGGGAGGGGAAGGUCG